rnacentral:rRNA from 1 species
GAUGAACGCUGGCGGCGUGCCUAAUACAUGCAAGUCGAGCGAAUGGAUUAAGAGCUUGCUCUUAUGAAGUUAGCGGCGGACGGGUGAGUAACACGUGGGUAACCUGCCCAUAAGACUGGGAUAACUCCGGGAAACCGGGGCUAAUACCGGAUAACCUUUUGAACCGCAUGGUUCGAAAUUGAAAGGCGGCUUCGGCUGUCACUUAUGGAUGGACCCGCGUCGCAUUAGCUAGUUGGUGAGGUAACGGCUCACCAAGGCAACGAUGCGUAGCCGACCUGAGAGGGUGAUCGGCCACACUGGGACUGAGACACGGCCCAGACUCCUACGGGAGGCAGCAGUAGGGAAUCUUCCGCAAUGGACGAAAGUCUGACGGAGCAACGCCGCGUGAGUGAUGAAGGCUUUCGGGUCGUAAAACUCUGUUGUUAGGGAAGAACAAGUGCUAGUUGAAUAAGCUGGCACCUUGACGGUACCUAACCAGAAAGUCACGGCUAACUACGUGCCAGCCGCCGCGGUAA